rnacentral:snRNA from 1 species
GAGCUCAGUUCAGCAGCACAUAUGCUAAAAUAGGAAUGAUAUAUUAGCAUGGUCCCUGCACAAGCAUGACACACAAAUUCCAUAGUUAAAAAAAAGACAG